rnacentral:rRNA from 1 species
GAUGAAUGCUGGCGGCGUGCCUAACACAUGCAAGUCGAGCGGUAACAGGAGUAGUUUACUACUUGCUGACGAGCGGCGGACGGCUGAGUAACGCGUGGGAACGUGCCCCAAAGUGAGGGAUAAGCUCCAGAAAUGGAGUCUAAUACCGCAUAUGAUCUUCGGAUUAAAGGAUUUAUCCGCUUUGGGAGCGGCCCGCGUUAGAUUAGGUAGUUGGUAGGGUAAAGGCCUACCAAGCCGACGAUCUAUAGCUGGUCUGAGAGGAUGAUCAGCCAGACUGGGACUGAGACACGGCCCAGACUCCUACGGGAGGCAGCAGUGGGGAAUAUUGCACAAUGGGCGAAAGCCUGAUGCAGCGACGCCGCGUGAGGGAUGACGGCCUUCGGGUUGUAAACCUCUUUCAGCAGGGAAGAAGCUUUCGGGUGACGGUACCUGCAGAAGAAGCACCGGCUAACUACGUGCCAGCCGCCGCGGUAA